CGGAAGUUGCGGACCUAGCGCCGGAAGGGGUAGGGUCGUCGUCCGGGUUGGACGACGAUUGGCACCCGGAACCGAAGGUGGGCGGAGCCGGGACCGUUGCUGAGCAAUCUUCAUGGGAUGACUAAAACCCAAGGCUGAUGUCAGGACCCCGCCGGUACUCGACACAAUCAGCAUCAUCGUCACCUGCCCCCCACCCAAAAAUCCUCAAGACAUGUUCUACAGAAGAAGAAGGGCACUGCUGGCCACAGUGUCUGUUACUGCAGCCAUCUCCCCAGAAGCCAUCCUGCAGCGCCCCUUGCCUGAGCUGACGGGCGUCGUUCCUGUGUCAGCCAGAAAUGCCCAGGUGUUUGAAUGUUCACUGCAGCGCUGCCUGUCACUAAGGCUCGCCUGUCCAGAGCUACCUGUCACUACACUUCGCCUGUCCUGUCCUGUGGCUCGACCCUCUUUCCAACCAGAAAGUUCUGGAUAUCCCAAGGUCCAUCUGACUCCAAAGUGUCUGUUGGGGGAAUCACCAAGCAAUUCCUAUUUAAGAAAAUAAGAUGCAGGGCUGGCUUUGGGUUCGUCCUGGUUGGGCACUGUGUCCUUACCUGUGGCAGGAUAUGCUGCGUGUGAUGUACCCAGUUGGCCAUGGAGUC